CGGGGUGUAGCGCAGCUCGGUAGCGCAACUGCUUUGGGAGCAGUGGGUCGGAUGUUCGAAUCAUCUCACCCCGACCA
rnacentral:tRNA from 1 species